AAUCAUCAACUCGACCGGCUUUGCCCGUUCGAGUUUGGAAUUGGAGCGUGCCGGCCCUUUGAAGGGGUUGGCUCCUCUCGAAACGAUUAGCGAAACCUGCGAGGCGGAUAGGCUUUUUGGUUUGAUAGAUGUCUACGCCGCUGCCGUGAAGCCUCGCGGUCGCUUACAAUGGUCCCUCGGGACGACUUGGCCUUGCUGGCCUCAUUAUG
rnacentral:misc_RNA from 1 species